rnacentral:misc_RNA from 1 species
GCGCAGUGCACGUUGUGUCGCUUUUUGUUAACGCGCAGUUGCAGCUCGUUGAGCUAGUUGGCAACACUUGUCAGUCAAAUCAAAAAGAAAAAGGAGGCUAGCUGGCUGUCUGUAGGUAGAAACAAAAAUGACUUCGACAUCGUUCAACGUUGGUCUCGGCGAGGCGCCGCGCAUGUCCAGCAGGGUGCUACGCCCCCCUGGCGGCGGGCACACGGACAUCUUCGGCGGGGAUCCGGAGCCCCCGCGUGGCAGGCGUCAGUUCCCGGGUGUUGCCAAUGCCGGACAAGGCGACGAGCCCCCGAAGCCACAGAACGGCACAUCACCAACCCAAAACGGGCAAGCUGAGACCCCACCGCAGGAGGUCGCACCGCCCCCAGAGCCAAGCCCCGCUCAGCCCGAGAGCCCAGCUAAGACUGAACCAGCUCCAGAGAGCAAGCCUGAACCAUCCCCACCCCAGUCCUCCCCCACCGCCGCUGAACCUAAAGCGGAACCACCCAAAGUAGAACCGCCAAAACGCGUCCGCGUACCACCAGGUGGAUUCUCAUCAGGACUGUGGUAAUCCCUUUUGCGCUGUUAAGAUACGCUGGGACCAGUGGCACUGUCUUCUAACUUGGAUUGAAAGGCUUUCCACACACAGCGGUCCUAAAUUGCUCAAACUCUGCACGGAUUUGGAUCGCGGCAUUUCUUUGUUCAUUUGAGUGCUACUUGCAAAUCUGUUACGUUUGUCUUUAUGUAAAGUUUAGGUACGGCAUCCCUUAACAAGAAAUUCCAUAGCUCUUCAAAAAAAAGCGUCAUUCCUUACCACUUUACAGUCCGGUAGCUCAAUUGAGAAAUGUUACACGCUUUUCCAUUUAAGUCAAAAGACAGUGCUGCAAAUUUGGUGGGUGUUCUUCUUGUGCCUUUAUUGUUGAAUGCUAAAUGUUUAUUUGUGUGUAGAUAUUUUGUUAUGGACUCUGGUCCCAAGCCGGCUCUUAUCAAUCGCUUCAGUAUAAUCUUUCUGUUUCCUCGCAUUUUGCAAUCCCCUAUUUACUGAACAGAUGUAUCCCAAUUAGGUAUUAUUUUACUAGGAGAUUAUAUUUUAUUUUUAACUUUGCUUGUCUUAACGACAACGCCAAACUAGACUUUAAACGUCACAAUUGGAUUAGUUUGUAAAUUUUUCGGCCAAAUAUUAAUCUCAUUCUUUUAAUCUUUAACUCUGAAAUCGUUUUCACUAAAACUAGUGGAACUAAUAUUUCGUAUUUGCAAUUGUACUCUGAUUUAAUGGUUUUAAAUCUGACUAAUGAAGGGUUUUGAAAACUCAGGCUGCGUAACUUUUUGCCGACUAUCUUCAAAAGUCCUAGUUAUAGUGAAAACAUUAUUUUUAGGUGUUUUUAAUCACGUAAUUUAAAAUGAUGCUCAGAGAGUAGAGUUAAUGAAUUUAUUCAUUUCUCUUUUACACUGGCGGUUUGAAAAUAGACGAUGAAAACUAUAUGGACUAUCUUGUUAUUCUACUUUCAUGACGUUGGUUGCGAUUCUACAGAACAAGAACUAUGCCAGCCAAUCACAGCGAUCCAUUGUUUGCGAACGGUUUCUGAUUGGUGGAUUUCUGUACACCUCCGAACGGCUACACUUUUAUAGAAUCGCAUCCUCUAAGAUCAUCGUGAUUUUAUUCACUUAAAAUUUCCUCAUCAGACUGAUUUCCUUAUAAGGCUGAGCGUGAAUGCAUUUUAGAGUAGAAAAAGAGACAACCAGUUUUCGAAUAGUUUCCUUUGUCAUUUACUAUCAAAAGCUCUCUCAUAUGUUUAUCGCCAGUGUGAAAAAGACCUUACAUUCGAUGUAUCACAGACUGACAUGUGCCUAUUCGUACUUAAAGUUCGUCUUCAAGCAUUUAAUGUUUUGCAUUAGUUUUAUUGUCAUUUAAUGUAUGCCUGCAGGCAAUGACGCGAUUAUGUAUAUUGGUAAUUGUAUUUUUAUAUGAAU